CAGAUUUUGUAAAUAUUCGAAUGCGAAAGCGAUUUUUAUUAGUGUGUCGAACAGAUUUUAGGAGCAAGCCAUGACUAGAAAAACUCAGUGAAAACCUUACCACUCCCCACUCUAGGUAAGGCGCCUAAGUAGUGAAAAAAAUUUCUGCUCAAUCGAUUCAGGCGUUAGUUUUAGCGGCCGUAGAACACGGCCACACCAGGUUUUCUGAAGAAGCUCAAAGCCAUUGCCAUUUCACACAACGGCUGGGGAGAGAGCUGUCAUCCUUAGCUUCGAAGAGCUUUCUUCUUGACACUUGUGACUUUAUGAAUGCGUGCACGUUCUCGGUAACGUUCUCGUCAGCGUCAUUCAUCUCAUGACAGCGAACGAAACGGACAGUUCAUAGAUACUUCUUGGAAUGUCUUUGCGAUAGGUGUAUUAGUCUACUUGUUUUGCAUGUCUUAAUUUUUGAGCGAUUUGCCUGUCAUGCUGACGUGUCACAGCGCGCACACGUUAUGCAUAAAACUGAAGCCAGUUAACAAAAAAUAAAGUGAACUGAGAAAGCACUGAUACGAUCACCGCCACACAUAAACAGCGUUGCUAAUUCGGUUAUAAUUAGCGUAAGAAAACAAACCUUCAUCACGCUUAGGAAUCUACCAGGCCCGUUGAGCAGAAAAUGGAAAGGUGAGUGCAUGUGUAAAUAAAGACUGCACUUGUAUGAACAACUGAACCGCGGAAACAUGCAUGAGCAUGCGCUGGUUUAGACUAUAGGCCAUCGGAACACGAACAAUAUAGCAUUUAAGCGCACUUUUACCUUUACUCUAUAAGCGUCAACCAAAAUGUACUAUUUGUUCGUUGCGAAUGGGACGUUAGGCAAGAGUGUUGGAGUUACACCAAAUAUUUAUGAUGUCACAGCCGACAUAUAAUGUACAGGGUGAUCAUUCCGAUGUUUUAGGGAAUCUCUAAAAACACUUGUGGCUGUUAGCCGAACACUUGUCCUUCAACUGAAUUUCUCGAAUAUCCCAACUGUAUUAUCGCGUGAACUCGACACAUAUUCUACUAAUUACCCAAAUUUAACCAAUUUACUUCUCAAAUAUUUACUUUAUGCUGCAUAUGGCAAUUUAAGAAUUGAAACUAACAGGUUGGCAAGGCGUAUCCACUUGUAAUUAAUUUACAGAUAGAAGACACUUCUGAAAUGUGAGUCAUCAAACUCACUGUAAAAAGAAACUGUUGCUCCACUUCAUUUUUUAGCAAAACGCUCUUUAAUGCAUUGAAGCGCAAGAGUAACUGGAACAUCCAUGUACUUGGUUUUACACUUUGGAAAAUAUUAUCUCAAAACUGCGAUCAUCCUGGAAAUUUAUUCAAGUGGAUACGUCUUUCAAGCUCGCCCGCUGCAAUUAGUAAAUGGGAAUAUGUGCCGUAAGGUAAAUUAUUGGGAAGCUAAUUAGUGAAUAUAUUUAAUUUAGCUCAAUACGUGAUUCGAUUAUUUAUGCUAGCAAUGUCGGGCUCUUCGAAAAAUGCACCUCAAGGACAAUAACUAUGUUACCUGGCAGCAUUGCCACAUUCCAAGCUGAACGGGGCUCAGACAGUCUCACUGCGCUUAUUGCAAACAAGUACUGUCGGCCAAAAAAUUAAACGGACCACAGCUUAGCUGCCCGGAGCGGCUGCGGGACCACAUCGGGGCACUGCUAUGUCACUCCGCGCGCUGACGACGAGAGAGCCCCGAAUGAUGCCAGACUUCUCCCUUACUUUAAGGGAUGUAUUGCAAUUGGUGGAAUAAGACUUGUCGUAGAGCUCAGGCAUGUAGUGGUGUAGUCUGUUUUGCGUUGGGUCUGUGUCUGUAGCAUUCUGAGUGUAACCGCUUGAGCUCGAGUAAGCGUGCGGUGAGGCGUGCUGUACUCUCUGCGUUCUAGGUAGUAGUGUUUAGUGAUUUUAUUGUAUUUAGUGGGACGUCCUUGUUCUCCAAGUGGUCGGGUGAAGCCGCGCGGUUUGUAAGCGCGCGCGCAACCUCGUGUGCCGCCUCGUUAAGGUUGGUGACCUCGCCCAUCUUUGGUCCUAAGUGUCUGGGGAACCAGUAUAUUACGUGGGUCUUAAUUUCCUUCCUUGUGACAAUUCUGAGAGCCUUCGCGCAGACCGUGCCCUUUGAAAAACUCUGGUAGCGGCUAUGAAGUCACUGUAGAUGUGAGAGAUUUUCGUCAGUGACCGCAACAGCAAUCGCAACCUGUCAGCCUGUUCUGUCUGGCUAGGCUUCCUUGCAAUUUCCGUGACUGCAUGUCUUGUGGAUCCGCGGCCAUCCACAACCACCACUGCGAAAGCUUUGUUUCCCGCGUAUGCCACCGCGUCCACAAAAACUCAGCAUUCGCUGUUUACCAAGGCUUGGUUAAGGAGGAAUGGUCCACUCUCUUGUCGUCUGCCCCUGUUGUUUUCGGUGUGUACGUUUCUGGGUAUAGGUCGGACCAUGAUCUUGGCGCGGAUGUCCCAUGGGAGGUCUCUUAACGUAUGCCAUUUACUCUGGCCGUGCUCGCAAGCUCACAUAAACUUCUAACCGGACAAGCACAAGUUUGAAGAAGAAAUCCGCCGUGACGAACUCGCUCCCCAGCUCUGGGCCGUCCAGCAGGUCCACGACGCCGCCAGACGUGGACCUGGGGGCGUUCGUCAUUCACGACAGUCGUUCGUCAUUCCUUCGAUAUAACAACACAUCCUACACGGUAAGUGAAUUCUAACUUAGGUUCACAGUCUCCGUAUAUGUCAUGCUAUCGCCAGGAAGUCUUCGCGGCGCUUAGCCGACGCGAUUGACAAUGGACUAGGCACGCGCGCUGUCUCUCGAUGUCAAUCGAAAAAGCCCGUCGUCGCGAUAACUGCAUCUGAUUUUAUCACUUGCCGUUAUCCGUAAGAGCUUUGAAAAUCGUAAACGCUGCCACAAGUGUGGUAUGUUCAAUAAGAUGCCAGGAGAGCGGACGCUUAAAAUGGAUUGCUCACCAGCCUUGAUUCCGACCCUAUGUGGAGCGUGAUUAGCGUGCGUUUUGUGUGUUUGAAUUUAUUCAGUUUGGGAGUCCACUGUGUACUGAACGCCGAUGAAACAAGGAGUUGCAUAACAGAAUGCGUCAUUUUGCUGGCAGCAUACUUUUGUUAUAAAUAAACCGCGCGCUUGACGGUGUCUCGCCCAGGGCGAAUCUGCGACCACCGAAGUUACGUGCAGCACCAGUGCUAGUUAAAAACUUUGCCGCAGACAUUCAGCUGCAUGCUGCAAGAGGUCAAUUGGGCGCGUUAUCUUGAACCUACUGAAAACGCAUGAGGAAUGCAUGUUUUGUGCUGAAUAAAGUAUAAACACCCUAUACGCGAUCUUGCGCGCGACAGCUACAAGCGACGCGAUGGAGAUGGCUGUCGCGUUCGCUCGUCGCCUACAAGUCGUACUCCGUGCGAGCGACGAUUUUGAGCGACGCCUCCCCAUUGUUGCCGGUAUGAGGGCUGCAAUCACGUGUGACGUGUGCUUUAGUAAUUUAUGUUGAUGAAUUUUACUAUAAAAAGUAACAUAAAAUAUUUGCGGAGGUCCUGCAGUAGGUUCUUAUCCUUGCACGUAUAAAAAUUCAAUCAUUUGCUCGUUCUACACGACAAUCGGUAGUACUUGAGCGAUGUACAUCCAGUUCCGGCUUCGCAGUAUUGGCUAGUCGCUCGUAGCACUUGCGGGAGACGAGCGACGAUUUCUAGAUUUCCAGAACCGAGCCAUCGGUUCAAGCGACGGCCCGUUUUGUCGCUCGAAGCCGUCGCUCGUCGUCGUCGCGCACUAAAUCGCUGUCACGGUGUUUAUCCCUAAGAGAACUGUUUUUGCUCAUGUAUUGAAAUGGUGUGAUUAUAGGUCUGGUUUUAUGUCUCCUGUUGCGCUUUUCGAGCACGGUGAGAAACUGAAAGGAUGCUUAUGUCUACGACCUCGCUGGAUUGUGAAGGAGCGAGUUAUGCAACGGCAUCGAAUAUAACGGCUGCUGUGUGGAAUUACAAUUGCAGGUGUGCUUUGCAUACGCUUGUUGUUUUGGACAUGCCUGUGCAUUUGCUAAUAUGAGUUGGCGUGUCAGAGUUAUGUCGAAUGAACAGCUAAAUCAGCCUUCCUCUAGGGUUUACAAGCGUAAUGUGUGCAGUUUGCUACUGCAUGGCAGAUCAAAAUGUGUUUAUCACUUUAAUAUUUUUAGUAGAGAAAUAAAAUAUCAAAAUAAAAUGUUGCUUUAAUUCAGUGUUACCAGUCGUCUGUCGUACAGAGUUGGUCUAAUAAACUAAUAACUGCGGUCAAACUGCAUUUUUUACAUGCCUCCAAGAAUCUAAAAUGCCAGAUUUCAAACUGCAGCAGUAGUCGAGUCUGUCAAAAAUGUACUCCAUUGCGCACCUCAUAAAUGAAAGUACGUUCAUGGCUUUUAGUAAGCUUAGAUGCAGGCCGCAGUGAACUUUCCUGUUAGUAUUGAAAUGUGGGUAAGCUUGCCAUAACUAGCCUUGUUGCCCUUUCUUAUAGGCACAUCCAGUCAUAUCCAUUGAACUGGAGGACAAUAUUUUCAUCCCUAUACAGAGCAUCAUGAUUCAGCUGUGAUCCUCCAAUUAUGGCUUCAACAGUGGCACAAUCAGGGAUGGUGCGGGGGGCACACUGGGCACGUGCUUAGGAUGUGUCACAAGUGGUAUUUCGAUACACCAGACUUAUGACAGACCUAUGAGGUCUGACAAUGACCAAUAUUCAAUUUAUUAGCAGGAGUAUUCUAACAUUAGUGACAAACAAGGAUGAACUAUUGGUUAUUUGUUUCUUGUUUAAAUCUCAAAUUUGAAGUUAGUUUAGCAGUUGACUGUUGCAGUCAUUUGGAUGUUUUGCAUGCAUUUCACUAGGAAGACUAAGAGCUAAGACUUUCUUUUGUUACCAUGACCGUGACUGUCUUGAUGUUGUUUCACACCAUGCCCUUGUGGUGACUUUAGCACAGGAUAUUUUUCAGGCACCCGCUUUAUAUAGCGCAAGAAGGCAGCUGCAAGGAUACAAGGAUGUGAACGAGCCAGUGCAGCGUGACUUCACAUAGUGCAGAGUAGCGAAUGCCAAAAAAUCAAAGUACAUAGUCAUGCAAUUUGGACAAGAAAACUAGUAUGUGGGUAUAUUGGGUGUACCAUUAGAUAAAAUGUCAACAAAAUCAAGAUACAGUGUGUUACACCAAGAUGAAAAUUCCCACGUGCUCUAGGCAGUCAUCUCAACAUGGUAUAUUUAUUUAAUGUCUCUAAUAGGAAAGUCAAAUCAAGUAUGCUCUCUGGAGACAAGCACAUAGCAGCAAAUGUUUAAACGUGUUUAAAAAAAGCUGAUUAGUUGUGAGAAGUGACUGCUUUUGUCUUGCCUCUCAACAGAUAUAUCCAUGUGAUAAAAAAUAGUGGUACAAUGAAAUUGCUCCUUUCCUUAGUGACAUGAUACCUACUUGCAAUGAGUACGGUGCCUGUGUUCACUGUAAAAAGCAACAGCCCAUGCUUCGUUAGGUUAGGCCCAGUACAACAUGCACGUAUUGGGACAACCCAGGACGUAUAUUUCUCAGCACACAGUCAACUGCGAGAAGUGACUCAAACACAGGCCAACAACGGUUCAAGUGGCUGUUAGACAAGCUGGCCCUUUUGACAAGAAGAGGCUCAUUGUGUUGCUACGAGCCUCACUAAACGAAUGAAAAAUGAACCCUCCAACUUGCUUGCCAUGCUGCUUCCUAAAUGAGAACAUUAUCACUGUGGAGGCAGACAUUUCAUUCAAGGGUAAAAUGUCAAAAAUGUUGGGGUGGCUACACUUGGUAAAAUGGACUGAAAUGGACUUUCCUGAUAUUGAUUACUACCUGAGGGGUAAACAUGACAAACAUGCACUGAUAAUAUUGCUACUCACUUCGUAUCCUUAUUCUUCGCCGAACCUCCAUUUUAGUGGCAUGGAUUCCGACGUGUACCCCCCGUUUGCCAAUUUCUGCUCCUCAAAUGCUCUACUUUAGGUUUUUAAAAGUCCUUUAUAUUUUUGUGGUGCUGUAAUAGAUAUAUUAAAUAAGAAUAAAGUACCAUAGAUACUUUUGUUGCUAUCAGAAAUAAAAGCCUACACGUCUGGUUCACCUUCAA